rnacentral:lncRNA from 1 species
AUUUCUCUAUUAGUAGAGGUCUGAAGGUAAGGAAGCAAAGGAGUUAUUAAUAUGUCUCUCUGGUUUUGAUUUCAUAAUGUAAUAUAUGUUUUAUCUGUACACCAUGUUUGCAGGUUCGAGAAGGGACGAAAGAUGAAGAAUUUGCCUGAAGAAAAUAUUGAACAAAAAGUACCUCUCUCUCUCUCUCUCUCUCUCUCUCUCUCUCUCUCUCUCUCUCUUGUGUAUGCAGUGAAAUUUGUUACUGCAUUUUGAUGUGAUUGUGUUGUCACAGGCUCCAGAUGGCUUCCUAGGGGUGAUGCGCUUCAGUUUGAGAUUGGGAUGUUGGCUUUCUCUAACCUGCCUUCCUUGAGUCUGAAGUUGGGGUAUAUAUUUCAAUGUUUUCAUGGCUAAGCGAUUCUAUAGCACCUUUCAACCAAUAGGUUAUAUUUUUGUAUGAGUUUUUAGAGAAAGUGCAAAAAAAAUUGUGCUUGUUUCCAUCAAGAAAGGACUUUGGAGCCAUCACAUUUGACACGCCCUAGGCACUCAUCAGACUGACUCACCGACCAUGCUUUUGGUUUCCAAUUGCCCCUGCAGUUCACAAGCAAGCAGGCCGCAGAGGACAUGGCAUUGGCCAUGUUCAACCGUGCCCUGAAGCUUUCUGGAGCAGGUCUGUGCCUCUGUGUGCGUCUUCUCUAACUUCAUCUCGCUGGAUCUAUGGAUCAUUCUGCACGUUGGGCUUGUUGCUGGCUGCUAGCCUGGCUUGUAAGAGGAUGCUCCCCUGCUCUGAGUCCAAGGUACACCAAUGAUCAAAAGAACACCUAAAUGAAAAAAAACUCUUCCAUUUGUAGUGAAGUUUUUGUAGAUGUAAUUUCUAUUUCUUUUACAUGUGGAUACUGUUGUUUUGAAGCAAAUUUCACCAUUAUUUUUUCUCAGGUUUUGUAACCUAUAUCAGUUUUUUUAUCAGGUUUUGUUUGGUCUAUUAUCAGUUUUUCUCGCUUAUUCUCUCUAAUCAGAAAAGGAGCCUGAAAAUCUGCAUUUACAUUUGCAGAUACUGAGGGAAAGUACAUAUCCAGAGGCACCAAUUGGGAGAGGUACAACAUAUGCAUUUCAAAGAGAACUGG